rnacentral:lncRNA from 1 species
AUGAAUCGCAUCACAGAUUCUAGACAAAAAAAGAAAAAAAAUCACAAACACAUCAAACGCACUCAACACCAUAAAGCAGUUCUCCAUCUAACAGAAAACAAAAAGGAAGAUCAAGAAAAUGCAUGAAGGUUAAAAGGGUAAAGAAGGAGAGAUGAAAAGACGAAGGCAGAUGAGGAGACUGACCUCCGAUGCCGAGAUUGGCGGCGAGGAGAAGCGGCACGAUGCGACGAAGGAAGCCCUUCUUCGCCGCAGAUGGAGGCGGAGGAGUCGAGGCAGCACUAGAAGAAGACAUGGACGACGAGGAGGAGGCAACGAGACUCGGGUUGGGGAGUAGGAGGCCCGCUUCGACUUUCCUCGCUGCAGCAAAGGGAACCAAGAUCUAUCAAGCUUCUUUUCCUCCGCAGAGAGGCACUUCUGCCGGCCAUCGGGGUUCUCUCUCUCUCUCUAUAUAUAUAUAUAUACAUGGUUAGGAGGAAAAAUAACUUUAAAUACUGAA